ensembl:snRNA U6 U6 spliceosomal RNA
GUGCUCACUUUGGCACCACUUAUACUAACAUUGGAAUGGUGCAGAAAUUACUAUAGCCCCUGCACAGAGAUGACACACAAAUUUGUGACACAUUACAUAUUGUU